GGAGAUUUAGCUCAGUGGUAGGGCACUUGCCUAGCAAGCGCAAGGCCCUGGGUUCGGUUCCCAGCUCCG
rnacentral:tRNA from 1 species